rnacentral:sRNA from 1 species
CUAUUGGUAAAUUUAGGAUCCACCAAUGUCUAUGUAUCUACAUCCUUACAAUGCACCUUGGCCAAAGAAAGACGCCAACAUGCCACCGGCUCGUUUUCCAAGGGGACAGUACUACACCUACUACCACGAUGCAUUCGAAUCCAAGCGCAAACUAAACCAGAGACUGCAGCCUAUCCACCAUAGAAUUCUGCCUUUGGACGUGCCCAAUUCAUGAGAGCCACACAACAAACACAAGGAAUUUCGUUUGUUAUUAGCUGCCAACGCUCAUAGCCAUCACAUCGAAAUCAACGUGAAAUAAAAUAUUACGUGUAAUUAUGAAAACAAAGUCAGCUUAUAUAAACCAAUAAAGUUAUUU